AACCAGGGAGGGAGAAUUCCACAUUCAAAUAAAGCGUAUCCGGAAACGUCAUAUCCGGAAACGUCAUAUCCGGAAACGUCAUAUCCGGAAACGACAUAUCCGGAAACGUCACAACUGGGAGCUCUGCUUUCACAGUGAUUAUGUAACAAUGUACGGUCCCAAGGAAACUCAGCAAAGCUAACAAGAUGCUGAAUGAAACCAGGAAGAAAAGAUGACUGCCCACAAGAUAAAAGCCCACGGUGUCACUAAGCCACUUGGGGUGGAGGCCGUUAGUUGGGCUUACAGCACAGUUGAUUCAGCUGUUGCAAUUACUUUCAACAUUAAAGGGAGCAGAAAUGAAUAGAUCAAUCGUGCCUCAGGCCAGUGUGCUAGCCACAGGACUCUAAAAAUAAAUAAAUGUCACUGUGGAGAGCUUUAGAAGAGGAAGCUCUCUGCUAAAGAGAGGACACAUUGGCCCUUUAUGUUUUUCCAAAGUCAUGACUGACAUGAGCUAUUCAAAUGUCUCAGAAACGAACUCCUUGUAUUUUGAUACCUCAGCAAUAUUUGGAUUUAAUUUUCUUUCUAAAAAGGGAAUCAUAGCAAGCAUCCAAUUUUGUAGUAUCCUAAAGUAUGACUGCUCAUCUACACAAAAGAUGAGUAUUGCAUUCCUGGAGGUGGAGAGUGGAGGGUUCCUCAAGAGGCCAGCUCAGAGACAUGUGGUCUUUGAAACUAUUUGAUAAAACUGCUUCAGUUCUUGGAAAGAUUAGCAACCACAGUGGGGUGGAAAGAGCUUUGGGAUGUAGAGGACAAGCAUUUGCCCCUGAGGAUAUUUUUAGUCAUCAUCUAUUUGUAACCACAGAUACCGAAUCCUCAUUCAUGUUACUAACGUGAACUUUCAAGAAAACUUUUUUUUUUUUUUUUUGAGUUUAGAAAGUGAAUUGAUGCCAAAUACUUAUUGGUAGGUAGGACAAAAUGUCUGCAAUUGGCAUGUGAAUGCUCAAAGAGGCAACUGGCUUAGAGAGGGUCCCUCAGUUUUAGGGAUCCUCCUCCACCUCCUGCCCAUGGAUCUCCCCUCUGUGCUGCGGAGUACAAGCCAGCUGGUCCAUGGCCUUCUGGGAAAUUCUCCUCUCCGUGUGACCUAUCUCAUCGUAGGAGUGCUGGGAUUACAGAUGUGCACCACCACACCUGGUUUUUGAUGCUGGUUUGGGGAUGGAACUAAGACCAUCAGCUUGCACAUCAAGGGGGAAAAAAAAUGAAGACGGUUCUCAAAGCAGCCCAUGUUUACAUGGUGUAUGGCUGGAGAUAAUUAUGUGAAAAUCAAAGUACCCGAGCUGCGUGCAAAGCAUGAACACACUCGAGGAACAGUAAAAGAGGCUUCGGGGAAGCAAGGGGCCGAUCUGAAUCUCAAAAAGACCACAGUGCAGAGGGAUGCUGGCGAAUUCCCUGGCUUCUUUUCAGGGGUAAAGCAACAACACCAAGAACUUUAGUUGGUCCUGCAAUUUCCUCCCUCCCACUCAGGAGCCCCUUCUAAUUAGGGCAAUACUCCCUCCCACUGCUUAAUUAAAUGCCUUCUCAGAGCAGCUUCAGAUCUGAUAGGGAUGAAUAAAUUGUUCCUUCCUCUGCUGGA